rnacentral:rRNA from 1 species
AGGGUUUGAUUAUGGCUCAGGAUGAACGCUAGCUACAGGCUUAACACAUGCAAGUCGAGGGGCAGCGGGAUUGAAGCUUGCUUCAAUUGCCGGCGACCGGCGCACGGGUGAGUAACGCGUAUCCAACCUUCCGUACACUCAGGGAUAGCCUUUCGAAAGAAAGAUUAAUACCUGAUGGUAUGAUGAGAUUGCAUGAUAGCAUCAUUAAAGAUUUAUCGGUGUACGAUGGGGAUGCGUUCCAUUAGGUAGUAGGCGGGGUAACGGCCCACCUAGCCAACGAUGGAUAGGGGUUCUGAGAGGAAGGUCCCCCACAUUGGAACUGAGACACGGUCCAA